UACGGAGGGUGCAAGCGUUAUCCGGAUUCACUGGGUUUAAAGGGUGCGUAGGCGGGUAGGUAAGUCAGUGGUGAAAUCUUCGAGCUUAACUCGGAAACUGCCAUUGAUACUAUCUGUCUUGAAUAUCGUGGAGGUAAGCGGAAUAUGUCAUGUAGCGGUGAAAUGCUUAGAUAUGACAUAGAACACCAAUUGCGAAGGCAGCUUACUACCCGAAUAUUGACACUGAGGCACGAAAGCGUGGGGAUCAAACAGG
rnacentral:rRNA from 1 species